UUUUAAUGAUGAUUUAAUUCAAAAAAAAGCACAUUUGUUAGAACAGAAUAAAAAGUGUGUUGAAUUAUGUUACUUUCUGAAACG
rnacentral:snoRNA from 1 species